rnacentral:rRNA from 1 species
GUCUAUGGCCACACCACCCUGAACUAAUCCUGUCUGAUCUUGGAAGCUAGGCAGGAUCAGGCCUGGUUAGUACUUGGAUGGGAGACAAUACAUUUUAUGAGUUACCUGCCCAGAAAGAUUGCUUUGUUGUCAAGGAAA